rnacentral:tRNA from 1 species
CCGAUGUAGCAUAGUGGUUAUUGCACCUGCCUUGUAAGCAGGGGGUCGCGAGUUCGAAUCUCGCCAUCGGCU